rnacentral:tRNA from 2 species
AGGACUAGUUUAAUAUAAAACAAUUGAUUUCGACUCAUUAAAUUUCAACCAUUGAAGCCUGCUACA